rnacentral:rRNA from 1 species
AAUUCGAUUAGAGUUUGAUCCUGGCUCAGAUUGAACUGCUGGCGGCAUGCCUUACACAUGCAAGUCGAACGGCAGCACGGGAGCUUGCUCCUGGUGGCGAGUGGCGAACGGGUGAGUAAUACAUCGGAACGUACCCAGGAGUGGGGGAUAACGUAGCGAAAGUUACGCUAAUACCGCAUAUUCUGUGAGCAGGAAAGCGGGGGAUCGCAAGACCUCGCGCUCUUGGAGCGGCCGAUGUCGGAUUAGCUAGUUGGUGAGGUAAAAGCUCACCAAGGCGACGAUCCGUAGCAGGUCUGAGAGGAUGAUCUGCCACACUGGGACUGAGACACGGCCCAGACUCCUACGGGAGGCAGCAGUGGGGAAUUUUGGACAAUGGGGGCAACCCUGAUCCAGCCAUGCCGCGUGAGUGAAGAAGGCCUUCGGGUUGUAAAGCUCUUUCGGCGGGGAAGAAAUGGCAACGGCUAAUAUCCGUUGUUGAUGACGGUACCCGCAUAAGAAGCACCGGCUAACUACGUGCCAGCAGCCGCGGUAAUACGUAGGGUGCGAGCGUUAAUCGGAAUUACUGGGCGUAAAGCGUGCGCAGGCGGUUUCGUAAGACAGACGUGAAAUCCCCGGGCUCAACCUGUGGAACUGCGUUUGUGACUGCGAGGCUAGAGUACGGCAGAGGGGGGGUAGAUUCCACGUGUAGCAGUGAAAUGCGUAAAGAU